rnacentral:rRNA from 1 species
GACGAACGCUGGCGGCGUGCCUAAUACAUGCAAGUCGAACGCUGAAGGAGGAGCUUGCUUCUCUGGAUGAGUUGCGAACGGGUGAGUAACGCGUAGGUAACCUGCCUGGUAGCGGGGGAUAACUAUUGGAAACGAUAGCUAAUACCGCAUAAGAGUAGAUGUUGCAUGACAUUUGCUUAAAAGGUGCACUUGCAUCACUACCAGAUGGACCUGCGUUGUAUUAGCUAGUUGGUGAGGUAACGGCUCACCAAGGCGACGAUACAUAGCCGACCUGAGAGGGGGAUCGGCCACACUGGGACUGAGACACGGCCCAGACUCCUACGGGAGGCAGCAGGAGGGAAUCUUCGGCAAUGGACGGAAGUCUGACCGAGCAACGCCGCGGGAGGGAAGAAGGUUUUCGGAUCGGAAAGCUCUGUUGUAAGAGAAGAACGAGUGUGAGAGUGGAAAGUUCACACUGUGACGGUAUCUUACCAGAAAGGGACGGCUAACUACGUG